UUUUCAAUUAGUAGGUUGUUC
ensembl:piRNA 21ur-6720 ncRNA